UACGAAGGGUGCAAGCGUUACUCGGAAUUACUGGGCGUAAAGGGUGCGUAGGUGGUUUUUUAAGUCCGUUGUGAAAUCCCUGGGCUCAACCUGGGAAUGGCAGUGGAUACUGGAAAGCUAGAGUGCGGUAGAGGAUGGCGGAAUUCCCGGUGUAGCAGUGAAAUGCGUAGAGAUCGGGAGGAACAUCUGUGGCGAAGGCGGCCAUCUGGACCAGCACUGACACUGAGGCACGAAAGCGUGGGGAGCAAACAGG
rnacentral:rRNA from 1 species